rnacentral:rRNA from 1 species
UAGGGAAUCUUCCGCAAUGGGCGAAAGCCUGACGGAGCAACGCCGCGUGAGUGAUGAAGGUCUUCGGAUCGUAAAACUCUGUUAUUAGGGAAGAACAAAUGUGUAAGUAAAUAUGCACGUCUUGACGGUACCUAAUCAGAAAGCCACGGCUAACUACGUGCCAGCAGCCGCGGUAAUACGUAGGUGGCAAGCGUUAUCCGGAAUUUUUGGGCGUAAAGCGCGCGUAGGCGGUUUUUUAAGUCUGAUGGGAAAGCCCACGGCUCAACCGUGGAGGGUCAUUGGAAACUGGAAAACUUGAGUGCAGAAGAGGAAAGUGGAAUUCCAUGUGUAGCGGUGAAAUGCGCAGUGAUAUGGAGGAACACCAGUGGCGAAGGCGACUUUCUGGUCUGUAACUGACGCUGAUGUGCGAAAGCGUGGGGAUCAAACAGG